AUAUCACUUUGAAAAAAAGUAUUUUAAUACAAAGGGCAAUAGAUUAAUUAAAAAUGCUAUUCCAACAUUAAAUUUGCCACAACCAUUGGAUGACAGUCUUUUGGUAGAUUUUCCUUUAUAUGGUGAAGAAAGAAAAAGAAAAAUCUUAAGUCUUGAAAGUUUUCAAGAUAUAACAAAUUCAGAGAAUGUGCAAUGGAAUGAAAAUAUUUUAUCUAAAAUAUUUGAUAGCCUAGGCUAUAUAUUAUCACGCAAAGACCAAUAAGAGUGGACCAC
rnacentral:misc_RNA from 1 species